CGGACGGGUGAGUAACGCGUGAGGAACCUGCCUCAGAGUGGGGGAUAACACACCGAAAGGUGUGCUAAUACCGCAUAACAUAUGGGAGGGGCAUCCCUUUCAUAUCAAAGAUUUAUUGCUCUGAGAUGGCCUCGCGUCCAAUUAGCUAGUUGGCGGGGUAACGGCCCACCAAGGCGACGAUUGGUAGCCGGACUGAGAGAUUGAACGGCCACAUUGGGACUGAGACACGGCCCAGACUCCUACGGGAGGCAGCAG
rnacentral:rRNA from 1 species